AAGUCCCGUAACGAGCGCAACCCCUGUUCUUAGUUACCAGCGCGUAAUGGCGGGGACUCUAGGAAGACUGCCGGUGCCAAACCGGAGGAAGGUGGGGACGACGUCAAGUCAUCAUGGUCCUUACGUCUAGGGCUACACACGUGCUACAAUGGGUCGGACAGUGGGGGCCGAGGCAGCAAUGCCAAGGCAAUCCCAAAACCGAUCCUCAGUUCGGAUUGUCGUCUGCAACUCGACGGCAUGAAGCUGGAAUCGCUAGUAAUCGUGGAUCAGCAUCGCCACGGUGAAUACGUUCCCGGGCCUUGUACACACCGCCCGU
rnacentral:rRNA from 1 species